CACCAAGCGUUUGGGAAAGUGGCAUGGUGCUGGUCCUUGAAAUUGAUGUUCUUAGUGAUUUAUGAUGGAGUUUUAUCUGAAUUUAACAUCGCUGUCCUCAACAUCAAUUUUGUUGACUCAUAGGCGGGUGACUGCUCAACGAUGACUGGAGACGAUCUUCGGUAUUACAACUGGUUUAUACCAAUGGGUUAUUUGCAUCUCAAGUUAAAUUAGUCACUGUUGAUCAACAAUGAGAUGUGGCCAUUGUUUGAUGGAUCAUUGAUGGUACGGAUGUGCAAUGAAACGAUGAUAUACCCACUGUAUUGGACCCAAACACCUUCCUGAAAAUUGUUCUGAAGGGGUUAGCACAAGGAAACUAUUGUUAUGACUUGCGAGGUCUGCUGGAGGUGACCGGAUCCGGAUGACUUGAGCAAAGUUGUGAAAAUUCAUGGCAAGGGAUGGGGGUACAAGGCAUGGGUCUGCGGCGCCACACCUUGCUGUUCCCUGCCGGUGGCCAGCGAGCUGUGGUGGUGCUUCUCUGUUGCAUGGCGAGGGACUGGGGUGCAAGGCGUGCAUCUGCAGUGCCACUCCUGGGGCAUGCCUCUCCCGCGACAUUGCCAGCAUACACAACAUACCUUACUACACGGGGAUUUCCUCUCUGAACUAAAUAUUAUGUCAGAACUGAAUAUUACGUCCGAAGACUGAAACAUCCAGAAAGCUUAUUGAGACUAUUCAUUGAUGGUGUUUCUCUACUACACGAGGAAGUUUCAUGUGCCAAUUAGGCAUGGACGACGA